ACUAGGGGUAUGCUCAGUACGGCGAGUGAGCGGCAAAGCUCAAAUUUGAAACCCUCGGGAUUGUAAUUUGAAGAUUUGGCAUUGGAGAAAGCUAACCCAAGUUGCUUGGAAUAGUACGUCAUAGAGGGUGACAACCCCGUCUGGCUAACCGUUCUCCAUGUAUUGCCUUAUCAAAGAGUCGAGUUGUUUGGGAAUGCAGCUCAAAGUGGGUGGUAAACUCCAUCUAAAGCUAAAUACUGGUGAGAGACCGAUAGCGAACAAGUACUGUGAAGGAAAGGUGAAAAGAACUUUGAAAAGAGAGUGAAAUAGUAUGUGAAAUUGUUGAUAGGGAAGGAAAUGAGUGGAGAGUGGCCGAGGUUUCAGCCGCCCCUCGUGGGCGGUGUACUGCCGACGCCGAGUCAUCGAUAGCGAGACGAGGGUUACAAAUGGGAGCGCCUUUCGGGCGUUCUCCCCUAACCCUCCACACUGCCACCGACGACAUAAUCCACCCAUUUCACCCGUCUUGAACACACGGACCA
rnacentral:rRNA from 1 species